rnacentral:rRNA from 1 species
CUACGGGGGGCUCCAGUGAGGAAUAUUGCACAAUGGAGGAAACUCUGAUGCAGCAACGCCGCGUGGAGGAUGACGCAUUUCGGUGUGUAAACUCCUUUUAUAUGUCAAGAAAAUGACGGUAGCAUAUGAAUAAGCACCGCUAACUCCGUGCCAGCAGCCGCGGUAAUACGGAGGGUGCAAGCGUUACUCGGAAUCACUGGGCGUAAAGGACGCGUAGGCGGGAUAUCAAGUCAGGUGUGAAAUCCUACAGCUUAACUGUAGAACUACACUUGAAACUGGUAACCUAGAGUAUGGGAGGGGGAGAUGGAAUUAGUGGUGUAGGGGUAAAAUCCGUAGAUAUCACUAGGAAUACCUAAAGCGAAGGCGAUCUCCUGGAACAUAACUGACGCUAAGGCGUGAAAGCGUGGGGAGCAAACAGGAUUAGAUACCCCCGUAGUC